GUUUAGUCUGUUCGAGUAUAAGGCAUAUUUUCAUUUUCUCACAUUCAUUUUUUUUUUUCUGCCAUCUCCAGCUGGAAUAUUUCCAGCCCUGAUAUCAUUCUGCAUGGCUGCUCUGGCUUGACAGUCACCAUCUGUCUCCUUUACUUACGAUUAUAAAUCUAAGAAAUGGCCCAGGUAAAAUGGCAUGCCAGCCAGUCAACAUGCCCUACAGAGAAAUCUUAUCAUGCACAAUCACAGUAAUGUAUUCUCCUUCUGCAUUUUUGUUAGUUUAAGAAUUUAAUUUCCGUUAAUUUUGUGGUCUACUUUAUAUGCAUGGGAAACAAAUUUUGCACUAGAAAGAUAAUUGAAAGCAACAAUGAACUUGUCCUACUUUAUCUUUUUUGAAGUUGAUUGAGGGAGAGGAGAAAGAGAGAGGGAAUUGGCUAAAAACAUGGAGCAUGGGAAGGGAACAGAACACAAGUCAACAGUGUGACAAGCUGGAUAGUGUCCAUAUCAUAUCUUGCAUUAACUGCAAGAUCAGAACAGAACCAACAGAUGUACAAAUCAACACGAAUACAAUCCAUUAUUCAGGGAACCUGCAUGUUGCAGAGUUCACUUCCCAGCCACACAGAGGGCUGAUGUGUAUAAAUAUUCGUACACACACUAACUCUCUUCUGACCUUUAGGUGAGCAGGUGAAGGUGAGGGGAUGCGCAGCAGGUAUGAUCCCUCUCUCCAUGCAUUUCUCUCCAUAGGUAUGAUUGUUUGAAUGGGGUUUAGUUUGGCCUUCACAUCAAUAUGUUUCAAGAGAUCACUUACACCCUAAGACUGAAAUCUUAUACUUACUCAGGAGUAAGCCCCAUUGAACAUAGUGGAACUUAUGACCAAGAAAACAUGCAUAAUAUUGCACAGUUAGAUUCUGGAAGGGUACUGUAUCAACUGUAUAUUGGCAUCCAAUAUUAAAAUAAUAUGCAAAUCGUGCAGUUACAGGCUCUGUUCUCUGUCCUGCUUAUUUGUGCUGAACAAGUUACACAGCUCUGCCCUAAGGUUUCUAAGCAGAUCUCAUCUUCGAUUGUAUUUCUUUGGUUAAUUAAGCUUUGAAGUUAUCAUAUUUCCUAAUUUUGGUAUAACAGCUGAUUUGCUUCAGCUGCAGGAACACAAUUUCUAAAACUAAGAGGAUGUAGAGUACAAAUGGAAUAGGUUAGAUAUCUGUGGCAGUUUUAAAUAAAAGAAACAUAUUGGAUUCAAGCCAUGGAUGGCCAUAUUAAUAGCAAAGUUUCUGGAGGAAUUAUAAUAUAUUGAAACUAUUUGUUUUGUGCACACAUUCUAUUAUCCAGCUACACUGCAGCAAUUUUUUGAGGGGGGGAGCCACAAUUUACAAAUAAACAACCCAGUAGGAUUCAUAACAGCUCACUGUUCUCUUUGACACAGACAGAAAACUAUUCCCUUAGAUGAGGCUAAUAUGGGAAAGUCUAGACAGAAAACAUUAAAACUGAACUUUUCAUGGGAGUUACAUUAUUCUAUAGCAAGGUCAUAGCUUGCAUUCUGGCAAAAUGAUAGACGACAACACAGUGGAUGCAAUAUUUUUCAGAAGUAGUGCGCACACUCUCUUCCUAUACAUCUGUAUAUUUCUUUUUUAAAAAGAUGUUUAUUCAGACACCCUGAACAAUUAUGAUAUAACUAAUUAGCUACUGAAAAUUCAAAAAUUCACAGUGGUCCUGGAGCAGAGGAUAGGUAUUGCCUUUUAUAAAAUCUACUUCUCCUAGUCUAAUGACUAUUGACUUUUAUGGAGUUAUUCUCUUGUUUUGGUGAUCUGAACAAUUUUUGCAAAUGAAAAGUUGUAUAGAGAUAUUUUAAAUGAACAAAAAUAGUGUGGGGUGUGCAGGUUUUAGAUCUGCUCAGAUCUGUCAAUGGGGCAAAAUGGAGUGCUAGCUAAUCCUUCCUGCCCAGAGAAGCAGCCCACGCCAUCCUAGACCCUUAGCCACGAGGGGUCAAUGUCAGAGUGAAAUUCCCAGCCAUGCUGCUUGCCUUGGCUGUUGGAUGCCAGUCAAGCAGAAUGUUUUAAUGGUUUAUGAGCAAGUGUUUCACACCGCUUGGUACAUUCUGCCUCAGUUACAGCCAGGCAACUUGGCAGUGUCAGGAUACAGGCAGAAUGUAGUAGGUGGUGCAUCUUGCUACACUUCUCUGAAAGAGGGAGGAAGGAAAAGAAGCACAGACAAGUUUUAUGCAAGAAGGAAGAAGCAGGUUUAUGCUCCAAAAAUGGAGCGGCUGUGUUCAAAGGCUCCAGUAAGCAGACAUUAUUCAGCAAAUAACUGGGGUAAUGGUGUGUCAGGGACUGUGCUGAGGAGGGCUGCACUGAGGAGGAAUGGUGGGAGCCUCCCCCUCCCCCUGCUCCUGAUCUGGACCCUGAAUCUUCCCAGGAGGAGGAGGACAGUAUAGAUUUGGAACAGUGGUUUGCAGAGGGACAUAGUUCAGAAGGCAGAAGCUGGGAAACCCUGGAUGGGGAACAGCUAGGAGAAGAAACACUGGAAGAGAGAGGGUUAACAGAUUCACAGUCUCUGGACAGCAUCCAUCCCCCCCUCUCCAAAGUCAUGGAGAGCUCAGAAAGUGGCAGAACAGAAAGCACAGCGGGUACAAGCUCAGAUUACAAGAUGUAGAAGUGACGUAGAUUAAUAGGGACGUAAGAGGGUGGGAUCCUUAACUGGGAGCACAGGCCAAUUCUAGGAGGUGGGUUCUUUGUUCUCUCACUGUGAUUAAUAAAGUUUCUAACUAGUAAGAAGACUCCUUUUCCUUUGUUCUGCUUAUCUACUGCCACGGGGGAGGAAACCGAUUCCCUGAGGCCUGACAUGGUGCAUCCUCAAGGUCUGAUACUUCUCCAGAACACGACAGAUCUAAAACAGCUUGGUAGUCAAUUCUAAACCUGGAAUUUCUAAAUUCUAAACUGAGGUUUCUUUGGCUUCCCUGAGAUAAGGUCUCCCAGUCAUUCCUGCAAAAGCAGAAAGUCUGUCUGAACUAACUUAAAACCAGCAUUUGCUUGUGCGAAUUACCCUGAAAAGCAGCCCUGUCUAAAUCCCAUAAUGUAUGGCAUAAUGUAUGACCUUGAAGGAUUGCAGCAUUUAUGAAGAAGACUUGUGUUCUGAGAUGUGAUCUCAGAACCACUGGCAGUCAUCUUUGAGAAUUCCUGGAGAACAGGCGAAGUCCCGGCAGACUGGAGGAGGGCAAAUGUUGUCCCUAUUUUCAAAAAGGGGAAAAGAGAGGACCCAAAUAAUUAGCGCCCAGUCAGUCUGACAUCAAUACCAGGGAAGAUUCUGGAGCAGAUCAUUAAGCAAACUGUCUGUGAGCACCUAGAAAGGAAUGCUGUGAUCACCAAUAGUCAGCAUGGAUUUCUGAAAAAUAAGUCAUGUCAGACUAACCUGAUCUCGUUUUUUGACAGAAUUACAACCCUGGUAGAUGACGGGAAUGCAGUGGAUGUAGCCUACCUUGAUUUCAGCAAGGCAUUUGACAAGGUGCCCCAUGAUAUUCUUGUAAAGAAGCUGGUAAAAUGCGGUCUUGACUAUGCUACCACUCAGUGGAUUUGUAACUGGCUGACUGACCGAACCCAAAGGGUGCUCAUCAAUGGUUCCUCUUCAUCCUGGAGAAGAGUGACUAGUGGGGUGCCGCAGGGUUCUGUCUUGGGCCCGGUCUUAUUCAACAUCUUUAUCAACGACUUGGAUGAUGGACUCAAGGGCAUCCUGAUCAAAUUUGCAGAUGACACCAAACUGGGAGGGGUGGCUAACACCCCAGAGGACAGGAUCACACUUCAAAACGACCUUGACAGAUUAGAGAACUGGGCCAAAACAAACAAGAUGAAUUUUAACAGGGAGAAAUGUAAAGUAUUGCACUUGGGCAAAAAAAUGAGAGGCACAAAUACAAGAUGGGUGACACCUGGCUUGAGAGCAGUACAUGUGAAAAGGAUCUAGGAGUCUUGGUUGACCACAAACUUGACAUGAGCCAACAGUGUGACGCGGCAGCUAAAAAGCCAAUGCAAUUCUGGGCUGCAUCAAUAGGAGUAUAGCAUCUAGAUCAAGGGAAGUAAUAGUGCCACUGUAUUCUGCUCUGGUCAGACCUCACCUGGAGUACUGUGUCCAGUUCUGGGCACCACAGUUCAAGAAGGACACUGACAAACUGGAACGUGUCCAGAGGAGGGCAACCAAAAUGGUCAAAGGCCUGGAAACGAUGCCUUAUGAGGAACGGCUAAGGGAGCUGGGCAUGUUUAGCCUGGAGAAGAGGAGGUUAAGGGGUGAUAUGAUAGCCAUGUUCAAAUAUAUAAAAGGAUGUCACAUAGAGGAGGGAGAAAGGUUGUUUUCUGCUGCUCCAGAGAAGCGGACACGGAGCAAUGGAUCCAAACUACAAGAAAGAAGAUUCCACCUAAACAUUAGGAAGAACUUCCUGACAGUAAGAGCUGUUCGACAGUGGAAUUUGCUGCCAAGGAGUGUGGUGGAGUCUCCUUCUUUGGAGGUCUUUAAGCAGAGGCUUGACAACCAUAUGUCAGGAGUGCUCUGAUGGUGUUUCCUGCUUGGCAGGGGGUUGGACUCGAUGGCCUUUGUGGUCUCUUCCAACUCUAUGAUUCUAUGAUUCUUUGAUUGUGUUGAUUGGUCAGUCAGUUUCUCAGGAUUCCUGUCUCUGAUAUACUACUAUAUAGCUUUGUCUACAGCAUGGGUUUGUGGCUAUGGGAUGGAUGUAGGGACACUAGGUGCCAUUCUUAGUCAAUAUGGCAGACCAAAGUGUGGCCUUUGCAUGACUUCACCCUGUUAUUGGCAUGAUAUGUCCAAACUGCACUGGUAUGGAUGCCUCUGAAGAUCUCAUCACCCCCAUUUGGUGGGAGUUCACUCAAUUUGGCAUUACAGGUUCAAUCUGCACCAAUUUUGAUGGUUCUGAAGGUACUGUCACCCAAUCUGGCAUGAUGGGUUGCAACUGUAUCAGUUUGGAUGUCUCUUAAUAUAUUGUCACUGAACUUGGUACAAGGGUUCCUGAGGGGGAGGCAGAGAUCUUCCUCUAUAUUUGGAUGCCAGGAGCCAUUUUGAAUUAAGAUGGCAGACCAAAACAUGAGUUUGGCAUGAGGUCAUCCAGUUUGGCAUGAUGGUUACAAAUGAGGUUUCCCAAGGUGGAGGAGGUGGUUUUCGUCUACAUUUCGAUGCCAAGAGAUGCACUGAAUAAUGUGUGUGUGUGUGUGCGUGCAGUCCAAAAACACACAAGACUUUUUGGUUCAUAAUAUCUUCUGAGCAGUGCUGAACACUUUCUGCUAGUAAAUACAUGGAGGAGAAUUUCAAGAGGCUGUUGGCACAUAGAACUAGUGCAAUUCCACAUUUCUGUCACAAUUUUCAGACUUCCAGCCUCCGCAUAAAGUAAUCCUAGAGCAAAUGUGGCUUGGUAACCCUUGGAAGCUCAGACAGUAGAGCAUGAAACUCUUACUCUUAGGGUCAUGGGUUCGAGUCCCAUUUGGGGCAAAAGAUUCCUGCAUUGCAGUGGGUUGGACUGGAUGACUCUUGUGGUCUCUUCCAACUCUACAAUUUUAUGAUUCUAUGAAAAUGGCCAGCAUAUUGCAAUCAGAUUAUUAGGCUUUUAUGGUAUACUUUUAUGUCACUGUCCCAGGGUCCCAGACCCCUCCGAACUUAGAUAGCAGUCCUUUCUUCUUUGAGGCACAGAUCUCCUUAUCUUCUCUCAGCCUUCUUGUCAGACCAUUGAAGCCCUGCUGGUGAGGUGCUAAACAAGCCCACUUAACACACAAACUCCAUUAUAAAUUACAUCAUCCUCCAAGUGCCUCCCAGCUUGCUAGCCCUUACUCAGCUCUGAACUAUCCUGGCUGAUUGCUAGUUGGGCUACUUGUGAGAAAAGAGCCAGUUUAAUUGCUUCUUCCUCACAUCUUAAAAAACAAUCAAACUGUAGAUAUUGGCUAUUUCAGAUUGUACUGGUAGCAGGUUUGGGAACUGGAGGAAAGCACUUAAAUCUGUGAACUAGCAAUAAAGCCAGCAGCAGCAGCAGAGGUAAAUGUUGAGGCAGUGAGACCACAUCAUAUUACAAUCCCACUGGGUACACCUUCUUUUCUAAAUGAUUAAAUUUCUAGGAGUUGUAACAAGUUUAAGGGUAUAACAUUGUGUUAUAGGUAGGAAAGGAAACAGGGUGUACUGCUGCAUGAAAUAAUCAUGAGUACGAUGGACAUUUCAAAAACAGCAAUACAUACUAUGACUGGAGGUGAGGGGCCUGUAUCCUGGUUUAAUGCAACACUAUGAAAGCGGUAUCUUUCUAGCACUGCCCUAUAGUCUAGUAUCAUAGCAAGUGUGCCGAUAUCAGCUGCUGUACAUUGUAAAGACAUAUCUGUGAGGUGUUACAGAUCAGUGGUUCAACAGAGCAGAAAGGCAAUUUCAGAAUCGAAACAAGACAGACUCUCAGAACCAUUUAUCACAAUGCUAGCAACCCUUUCAUUCAAAAUCUAGCAAAACUGAAACUGUGCAAGGGAAGGGCUCCAUAGGAGAAAGGAUCUCCCUAUGAUCGUUCAAGUGGAGCUGGGCAUCUCACAGCUCAAGACCAUAGAUCUAUAUUGAUUUUCCCUGUUGGUUGUUUGGCGAGGAGUGGGAGGUGGGAAUAAGCUGCUAAGAAAGGUAGAUUAAAUUCUAUGUAAAUUGAAACAUUUUGAUAAAAAUUUUAAAGCAUUUUUCAGAAUUGUAGGCAUUAACACCAAUUUCCUUAAUAUUAUUUAUGCAGGUAUGAGGCUGCCAUAUUCUGAGAGACCUUUGGUCUAAUGAGCCCAGGAUUUUUCUCCUGGGCCUCAGGCAGAGUGGUCUUUUCUGUCAUUUGCUACUUGAUCAUUUUAACUGAAGAUGCCAGGGAUCGCUAGGGACAGAUUCUACCAACUUGGGGAAUCAGGGUAAGUCAUCUCCUUCAUCACCUAGGCUUCUUUGCUGCUUUGGGAUUGCAUCACUGGAGCAUCAUAGGCUAUCAACACUCUUUUGUCAAGUCCAAUACACUGGUCAGGUGUUACCAGUAUUACCUCAGCCAGUGAAAGGACUCCCACUAAAACAAUACGGUUCCCCCUCCUCUCCCUAAUCCACUCUGGAGGGUUGGGCAGGGGGCGGGGGAGGGGGGAGAUUGUCCCAUCAGACAAGCAGAAAUGCUUGUGCUGGUGGAAUGAUCUCCUUAGCACUAUAUUGAAUUCCACCCCAUGGGUUCCUAAAAAUAAUUGGUGGUAGUAUUGAAUAAAUGAGAUCAUUGAUUUUUUUUCAACAUUUUGUGAUUAUUCUAUGAAGCCAGCUGAAUGCUGUCGAAAUGGCAGCUUGGGAGCAGCUGCUACUGUUUUGUAUUCUGUUCUGCAGCCAGCAAAAAAUACACAAAGAAAGAAAGAAAAAUGUAUUAUGAAUGUCUUAACUAUUUCUGGACCAGCCUUGCUUCUUGCUUUAAAACUGGAUCAUUUGCUUACUUAUUAACUCACAAAUCAUGGCCAAACCAGGCUUGCGAAACAGGCUUAAGCCUUUCGCACUCCCUUUUCUCUUUUCCUAUUAUCUAUGUGUGCUCUGAUUGCCUGACUUCUUGUGUGACAUCUUGACUGGACAAGCUUCCAUAGUUUUACCCGCAUGAUUUCUGGGUCUGGUUUCCCGGAGAAAACUCUGGUUUGUGGUAACAAUAAUUUGCUCCCUUUGGAUGUCACUGUGUGUGGUGUGACUUCUUCAAAAUUUGAGGCACCAUUAAGAGGGAGAACUGUAUGAGAAGUAAGUUUAUUCAGAAAAUUGGCACCGUUCGGAUGCCAAAAGCUGAUUGCUAGCUCUGCUUCCUCAGUGUACCACAUUUUACUUGAGGGAGUUGAACAUCACUUUGUAGGAUAACGUCUUAUGUUCAGAGGCAAGGCUUUCCCCACAAGCAAACAUGCUAAGCAUGCUUGUUUCAUGAAACACCUGCUACUUUAGAUUACUAAUCCAUGCAUGGAUGGAUGACAGAAUAAGCCAAACGCUGACCAUCAGCCUGUCCUGCAUAGCAGCUAAGAAUCCCUGGUUUUAUUGCCUGAGAGUGAUCAAAACAAGAGAAUUGGGAAGCAGCCUGCAGGCUAAUGAAUACACUGCUGGGACUAGAAGGAUGUGCAUUUGGCUUUGCAAAUUGUGCAAGCUCACAUUAAGCUCUGUACAGUGGUACCUUGGGUUACAGACGCUUCAGGUUACAGACUCCGCUAACCCAGAAAUAGUACCCCGGGUUAAGAACUUUGCUUCAGGAUAAGAACAGAAAUUAGGCGGAGGCGGCGCAGCAGCAGCGGGAAGCCCCAUUAGCUAAAGUGGUAUCUCAGGUUAAGAACAGUUUCAGAUUAAGAACGGACCUCCGGAACGAAUUAAGUCCUUAACCUGAGGUACCACUGUAUAUAUAAUCAUGACAAAGGGUACUUGUAUUGGAAAACAUGCCUUUCUCUUCCCGACCCCCACCUCAUUUUUCUCACUAGUGGGUGUCAUUCCGGGGCUGUGGAAUUAGGAACACAUGAGUCAAGUAAGAUCUUUCUCUUCCACUGCUCCUGAUAUGUUCCACACUUCAGAGUGUCACCUCGCUGCUAAAGCCCUGCUGCCAAGGACAUCUGUUUAUAAACCCAGACUUGCUCCCUUAUUUAAAGAAUUCUGUUUCCUCUAAAGCUAAUUUGGUCUCUCUGAGCAGGAAGCCAGGUAGGCUCCUUUUCAUAUGCUAGGCAGACUAGGCAGUGCAGUUGAUCGAUUCACAAUGGGCAUGUAGUGGAAGAAGGAUAAAUAAAUGGCAGUUCCAGGAAUACAAUGGAGGAAAGGAGUUAAUAAUAAUUAAAAAGCAAGUAUUGCUUCGCUAUUGACUGGUUCUCGCCGAAUCUACUCCCUGACACUGUUUUCCAUGCACAAGGUAGUUUUUCAUUUCAAUUUCAACCCAAUGAAUGAGAGGUACCGUAACUUCUGAAGUGCAAGAGCUCAUCAUGACAGCCCCCAUCACCACACCCCAAACACAGUCCAAAGUGUUGAUCCCUUACAUAUAAUGCAGCAACAUAGCUUAUCUUAUCUUAAGACCUGGUUUGCUUUAGCAAGUUGUUACCUUAGUAGAACAUAUCACAAAGCUAUUUAAGAAGAAGAAAAUGGAUUCUUUGACAAUCCUAAAAUGAUGUCAUCUGACAUGAUGCAGGUACUUUUCAUUCUUCCUCUUCGCAGCAAAUAAUUGAACUGGAAGUGUGUGAUCAAAUUUAACAUAACAGAACAUUAAACACACUUUUUUCCAGCAUGCACAUAAUGCAAUUAGUGACCUAGCUAAUUCCCUGACAGCACAUUUAGUGAAGCUAUUGCAAACAAUAUUUCUUGGGUAAUUGUCUAAAAUCUAGAGAAUGUUAGAAUUGGUGGGGCGGGGGUAAUUUUUAAACAGAAAAGAUGGUUGUGCAAUCAUUUUGGCUCCAUAGAGUUAGAAUAAUAAAAUAGGUGACCUAAGAUAUUUUAUUGAUCCUAUUUUGUGAGCUUUCCAGCUCCAAUGUUUGAGUUUGAAGACUGUAGGACUAGAUGUUCACAGCAUGAAAUUGAUUUUGCUGUAAUUUGCCUGACUAUGCUGUUCUGAGAACAAAGGAAACCGUGAGAAGUCUGACUCCCAGUUGGUACAUUAAUGGACAGCCAAACAUUUUCCCAUGGUGAAGUACUUAGUGAACAACUCAACUUUCCAUAGUGCUCCUCAUUCAACCUAUGGCGUGAGGGAUUUUUGCAUUAGACCAGUGUUUCUCAAACAGUGGACCUUUCAGAUGGGUCUGAGUACCACAAUCUGUCCAGUGCAUCCUCAGCCACCUGGUCUACUUGCUAGCCAAGCAAUAGCCUUUGGGUAGCCUUUGGUAGCCUUUUAAAAAGAAAAAUUGCAAAUUGGUGCAGAAAUGGGGAGAGCUGAAAUUACGAUUGAAAAAAAUGAGAAUCUGCAAGAAACAAAAAUUGACAGAUUGCACCAUGCCAGUGUGGUGCCCUGCAGAUGUCAAAGGGCUGAUGGGAGUUGUAGUCCAACACACAUUCAGGGCACCACAUUCACUAUCUCUGAUGGAGAGUAUACAGCAAUAGUAAAGACUGUUCUAUAAAGACAGUGGCCCCAAAGAAAAGGAUUUGGGUGCUAGUGUCAUAGACAUGGCUGAAAAUGGACAUUUGCAAUGGAACAAAAGACCCCAGGAUAUAUUUUAGAAGGGAUGGGCAUCUGUAACUUUGACCAGGGAUUCUAAACCCCAGCAAGUGGGUGGAUAUCUAUAUUGCAUCCUGGUCCAAAGGCCUAUGGACUAUCAACAUUUCAGCUUUCUUCAUGUAUGUUUGGCUUUUUCAGGAGAUACUUCAGGAGAAAUUUUUUAUUUUUUAUUUUUAUUUACAUCCCGCCCAUCUGGCGGGGUUUCCCUAGCCACUCUGGGUGACUUACAACAUACCUAAAAACAAAAUAAAAAGUCAGAUAGUUGUUUAUUUCCUUGACAUCUGAAGGGAGGGCGUUCCACAGGGAAGGUGCCACUACCAAGAAGGCCCUCUUCCUGGUUGCCUGUAACUUUGAUUAUUGCAGUGAGGGAACCAGCAGAAGACCCUUGGCACUGGAUCUCAGUGUCUGGGCUGAGCAAUGCAGGUGGAGACGCUCCUUCAGGUAUACUGGGCAUAGGCUGUUUAGGGCUUUAAAGGUCAGCACCAACACUUUGAAUUGUGCUGGAAAAUGUACUGGAAGCCAAUGAAGAUCCUUUAGGACCAGUGUUAUAUGGUCCCAGGAAGAUCUUCAAGCCUGGGGUCCAAUGAACACAUUUCAAUUAAAUGUGAUUCUGCAGCUGAGAUGAAGACUUAUACACUCUGCUCCUAAAACAGUGACCAUGCUGUUUCAGCAGGCCUCUUAUAUAUCCAUGUCCUCUCUUGUCAUUCUCUGUAGCUCUUUGUUUGCUUCUCUAGCAACAGGUAUCUUCUCCUGGCAUUGUAUUUGCCACUAUAAUUCUGAGAUUCAGGUUGAGUGUGUAUAUACCAGUUCUCUUAUAAUCAUCUGCUUUCGAUAAGGUGUUUUUUCUUGGAUAGCAAACUUUUCCCCAUGGGUGUCAGCAGCCUCCUGGCUCUCAAUUAUGGAUAAUUAAGAAUAUCUUAUGAAUAAUAUGUUACCAACAGGUGUAAUAAAAGGCCUCUAUCAUAGGAGAGAAGUGUACACAAGGCUUAUUCUCCUAUGCUUCCAUAUAUAUAGAACAACUGGUUUCUAAUUAUAAUGGUGAACUGAUAUCUGGGCAGUGCUGGUGCCAGGCUAGUUUAUGCCCUGGGCAAGGCUAACUACUUGCACCCCUGUCAAAAAAUUGCUAACAUCAAUUUUCAAAAGCUGUAGAAAAAUAAAAAGCACAAAACUUGAAACUGCUAAAUUUAUUUACAGCGCAACAUGCUUUGAAUGUCUUUCCCAAAUGCAAAAGAAAAUAUUUUAGCUGCACACAAAGCUUAUUGAAUAAUCUUGCGAAAUGUGAUGUUAAAAUUCAAGUCUCUUGAAAGUUUCAAUUUCAGGCACAUCAAAAUCUCACUUUGCGUACCUUUGCAGAUUUUGUCACCAAUUCCUUCAGAUCAAGGGCUGGUGCUUGGCCAUGUUCAAAUGAUACAGUUUCCAAGCCAACCAGCCUCUUUUGCAACAUUGCUGAGUGCAUGUACGUUUUUAUAAGUCUGAGCUUUGAGAAACUGCAGACACCACUUGCCACUGACACCAGAAGCAUGAGAAGGCUCUUUAGAGUGAAAGAAACAUUAGGCACAUUAUCCAAGAGGUUUUGUUGUGGAAUGAAGAGAAGUACUCUUUGAAAGUCUUUGAGCUACUGCUAUAAGUUCACACCACAGAUCUUCAGCAUUGUUAUCUUUGUUUCCGCUGUGCAUCAAUUAUUUUUCCAAGUGCUUGCAGGCCUUAAGUACAUCUGAAGUAGAUUUUUUUUUGUAUAUAUCAUACAGAAAGACAAAUAAGGAAUUACCGUAUUUUUCGCCCUAUAGGACGCACUUUUCCCCCUCCAAAAAUGAAGGGGAAAUGUGUGUGCGUCCUAUGGGGCGAAUGCAGGCUUUUGCUGAAGCCUGGAGAGCGAGGGGGGUCGGUGCGCACCGACCCCUCUCGCUCUCCAGGCUUCAGAAAGCUAUCCGCAAGCCGUAUUAGCUAUCCGCUAAGUCGCGCAGCUCUCCCACGGCUAGCGGAGAGCUUGCCUGCACCCAGAAGCGCGCCCCAGGCUUCGGGCUUCGCGCAGCUGUCUGCUAGCCGUGGGAGAAGUCACGCAGCUCUCCCAUGGCUUGCGGAUAGCAGCCUGUUCUGGGGGCUGGGGUCGGGGGGAGCCCCCGGACCUGGGGGGGAAAUAAACAAAUUUUUCUUUAUUUCCCCCCCAAAAAACUAGGUGCGUCCUAUGGGCCGGUGCGCCCUAUGGGGCGAAAAAUACGGUAUAUUAUUGUAUCUGUUGGAAACUUUUUAACAGAUUGCAUGGUUGGCCAUGUCUAAGGCAGCAUAGUAGAAACCUACUCUGAAUUUCUACUUGGAAUCUGGCGGUGCUUCUUCUUAGGCCUCAUACUCAAAUUGCCAUUUAUUUCUCCUUUUUCUUUCUCAGAGUUUGGUAGCAUUCCUAGCUGCUUUGCAAUCUCAGUAUCAGCUAUCAAAACUUGUUGAAAACACUUUCAGCCCACAAGGUAAUUCUUGGUCCUUUGCUGAAUUUAAAUCAGCUUCCUUAUUUUGUAGUGGCUUGCUUGUAAGAUUGACUUCAAAAAGGAUGUUGUAACAUGGAACAAGGGAUACCACAAACUUGAACUUACAGACUGCAUCAGCAAGGGCCUUGGCAAUGGUACCUCACCUUGUCCUGUAGCUGUGUUGCCUUAUGAAGCACCUUGGUGAGUUGACCCAUGUCUUAGCCUUCUGUUAGUGAGAGGCAGUGCUCCAAUACACAUACAGUAAAAUUCACUUAAAUUGUUUUCUCCUGUACAGUGGUACCUCGGGUUAAGAACUUAAUUCAUUCUGGAGGUCCGUUCUUAACCUGAAACUGUUCUUAACCUGAGGUACCACUUUAGCUAAUGGGGCCUCCCGCUGCCAUCACGCAAAUUCUGUUCUCAUCCUGAAGCAAAGUUCUUCACCCAAGGUACUAUUUCUGGGUUAGUGGAGUCUGUAACCUGAAGCAUCUGUAAUCUGAAGUGUCUGUAACCCAAGGUACCACUGUACAUAUGCAAGAAGAGUCUGUUAUGUGGGCCUUGUCUUUGUUUUGCAAAAUGUAAUAUAAAGUUCUUCCCUUAGUGUUCCUUUACUGUUUUUCAUUUUUCAUUAUAUAGUGAUUCAUUUCCCUUGGUCCAUGCGGCUUGUGAAGAUAAAGGGACCUUGGCCCGCAAGGCUGAAAAAAGUUCCCCACCCCUGAUUUAUAUGAUUGCACCAUAAGUGGAAAUGUGGGUUUUGAAGAGUUGAGGCACCAAAGAACUGUUCAAGAAAGAGCUAUAGCUCUAAUAAUUCAUGCACACUGGGUAUGUUGUAUACAGCUUCCUGGUUUAUUUACUUUUUUAAACAGAAGUUGAUUUGGUUGCCAAGAGAAGAUGAACAAUUGAAAUGGGAGUAGCAUUGGGAAAAUGUGUAGGAAGUGACUGGGCAACAACAAAAAUAACACUGCUCACAUGCAGUGGUCUAAACCAAUGAGCCUCUUGGGCUCGCUGAUCGGAAGGUCAGUGGUUCAAAUCCACGUGAUGGGGUGGGUUCCCACUGCUCUCUCCCUGCUCCUGCCAACCUAGCAGUUCGAAAGCAUGCAGGUGCCAGUAGAUAAAUUGGUACCACUGUGGCAGGAAGGUAAAUGGCAUUUCCAUGCACUCUGGCUUCCGUCACGGCCCUUCAUGCACCAGCAGUGGUUUAGUCAUGCUGGCCACAUGACCCGAAAAGCUGUCUGUGGACAAACGCCGGCUCCCUUGGCCUGAAAAGUGAGAUGAGCACC